GCCCGACUCCCCCGCGGCCGAGCGAGGCGCUCUUCCUCCGCCUUGUAGCCUCCCUGCAGCGGGUGCGAGUCACCAUCGCUUAGGAUAAGGCCGGGCCCGUAGUCCCACGAGAGAACCCCACAUCCGCACCCCAGAAAUCCGCUCCUCGGGGGGCCCUGCGCCAGCCCCCGGGUGGGGGGUGGGGGGGUUGGCGCGGGGCGUAAGGACUACAUCUCCCAGGAUGCAUCGCACUAGCGCGCUUGCGCGGUGCGGCCGGCGGCGGCGGUCUGUUCUCCGCUGAGGAGGAGUGGGGCAGAGGAGGGAGGCAGCGGGUGAGAGUUCAGAGUUCAGCAGCAGCAGCCCGAGCCCAUGAUUCCCAUAUGCCCUGUAGUUUCUUUCACCUAUGUGCCCAGCCGGCUGGGGGAAGAUGCCAAAAUGGCGACCGGCAACUACUUUGGAUUCACCCACAGCGGGGCGGCGGCGGCGGCGGCUGCGGCCCAGUAUAGCCAGCAGCCAGCUUCGGGUGUAGCCUAUUCCCAUCCAACUACAGUUGCUAGCUACACUGUCCAUCAGGCUCCAGUAGCUGCUCACACAGUUACUGCUGCUUACGCACCAGCAGCCGCCACAGUUGCAGUUGCCAGGCCUGCUCCAGUUGCUGUUGCAGCUGCUGCAACAGCUGCUGCAUAUGGAGGCUACCCCACUGCACACACAGCAACCGACUAUGGUUACACCCAGAGGCAACAAGAAGCACCACCACCACCACCCCCAGCUACUACACAGAACUACCAGGACUCAUAUUCGUAUGUAAGAUCCACAGCCCCUGCUGUAGCUUAUGAUAGUAAGCAGUACUACCAACAGCCAACAGCAACUGCUGCUGCUGUAGCUGCUGCUGCCCAGCCUCAGCCUUCUGUUGCUGAAACCUACUAUCAGACAGCCCCUAAAGCAGGUUAUAGCCAAGGUGCAACACAGUAUACUCAAGCGCAGCAAGCUCGGCAAGUGACAGCCAUAAAACCAGCCACACCAAGUCCAGCUACCACUACUUUCUCCAUUUAUCCUGUGUCCUCCACUGUACAACCGGUGGCAGCUGCAGCUACUGUGGUACCAUCCUAUACUCAGAGUGCUACUUACAGUACCACAGCAGUUACUUAUUCUGGUACAUCUUAUUCAGGUUAUGAAGCAGCCGUAUAUUCAGCUGCGUCUUCCUACUACCAACAGCAGCAGCAACAACAGAAGCAAGCAGCAGCAGCAGCUGCUGCUGCAGCAGCAACAGCUGCCUGGACAGGGACCACCUUUACUAAAAAAACACCAUUCCAAAAUAAACAACUGAAACCAAAACAGCCUCCCAAACCACCCCAGAUUCAUUAUUGUGAUGUUUGUAAGAUCAGCUGUGCUGGACCACAGACUUAUAAAGAGCACUUAGAAGGACAGAAACAUAAAAAAAAGGAAGCCGCAUUGAAAGCCUCUCAAAAUACCAGCAGCAGCAACAACUCAACUCGUGGGACACAAAAUCAGCUACGUUGCGAGCUCUGUGAUGUGUCUUGUACAGGAGCAGAUGCAUAUGCUGCCCACAUUCGUGGUGCUAAGCAUCAGAAAGUGGUUAAAUUACACACAAAACUUGGUAAACCUAUUCCUUCAACGGAACCAAAUGUUGUUAGCCAAGCUACUUCUUCAACAGCUGCAUCUGCUUCAAAACCAACUGCCUCUCCUUCAAGUAUUGGCGCAAGCAAUUGUACUCUGAACACGUCAUCAAUUGCAACUUCUUCAGUGAAAGGUCUUUCAACUACAGGAAACUCGUCUCUUAAUAGUACAUCCAACACUAAAGUGUCAGCGAUACCUACCAAUAUGGCUGCCAAGAAAACAUCUACACCCAAAAUAAACUUUGUUGGUGGAAAUAAGCUACAGUCAACAGGAAAUAAAACGGAAGACUUAAAAGGAAUUGACUGUGUUAAGAAUACUCCUGCUGCCUCUGCUGUGCAGAUUCCAGAAGUAAAGCAAGAUGCAGGGUCAGAACCAGUCACACCUGCGUCCCUUGCUGCUCUGCAGAGUGAUGUACAACCAGUGGGACAUGAUUAUGUUGAAGAGGUACGAAAUGAUGAAGGAAAAGUCAUUCGCUUCCAUUGUAAAUUAUGUGAAUGCAGCUUUAAUGACCCCAAUGCUAAAGAGAUGCACCUAAAAGGACGAAGACAUAGACUUCAGUAUAAAAAAAAAGUAAAUCCAGAUUUGCAAGUAGAAGUGAAGCCCAGUAUUCGUGCCAGAAAAAUUCAAGAAGAGAAAAUGAGAAAGCAAAUGCAGAAGGAGGAAUAUUGGCGGAGACGAGAAGAGGAGGAACGCUGGAGGAUGGAGAUAAGACGUUAUGAAGAAGACAUGUACUGGAGAAGAAUGGAGGAAGAGCAGCAUCAUUGGGAUGAUCGCAGACGAAUGCCUGAUGGCGGCUAUCCUCAUGGUCCUCCCGGCCCACUAGGUCUUUUGGGAGUCCGACCAGGCAUGCCUCCCCAGCCGCAGGGUCCUGCCCCCUUACGGCGUCCUGACUCAUCUGAUGAUCGUUAUGUAAUGACAAAGCAUGCAACUAUUUAUCCAACUGAAGAAGAGUUACAAGCCGUCCAGAAAAUUGUUUCUAUCACUGAGCGUGCUUUAAAGCUUGUUUCAGACAGUUUGUCGGAACAUGAGAAGAGCAAGAACAAAGAGGGAGAUGAUAAGAAAGAGGGAGGUAAAGACAGAGCUCUGAAAGGGGUGUUGCGAGUAGGCGUGCUGGCAAAAGGAUUACUUCUCCGAGGAGACAGGAAUGUCAACCUUGUUUUGCUGUGCUCAGAAAAACCUUCAAAGUCGUUAUUAAGCCGUAUUGCAGAAAACCUACCCAAACAGCUUGCUGUUAUAAGUCCUGAGAAGUAUGACAUAAAAUGUGCCGUGUCUGAGGCAGCGAUAAUUUUGAACUCGUGUGUGGAGCCCAAAAUGCAAGUCACUAUCACCCUGACAUCUCCAAUUAUUCGAGAAGAGAACAUGAGGGAAGGAGGCUAGAGCUAAUGGCCUACAGUCGUGUGUGAUUAUCAUACGUAUUCUCCGAGACCUUUGUCAACGAGUUCCAACGUGGUCUGAUUUUCCUAGCUGGGCUAUGGAGUUACUGGUGGAGAAGGCAAUUAGCAGUGCUUCUAGUCCUCAAAGCCCUGGAGAUGCCCUGAGAAGAGUAUUUGAGUGCAUUUCUUCAGGGAUUAUUCUCAAAGGCAGCCCUGGACUUCUGGACCCUUGUGAAAAGGAUCCCUUUGACACUUUGGCAACAAUGACUGACCAACAGCGUGAAGACAUUACAUCCAGUGCACAGUUUGCAUUGAGACUCCUUGCAUUCCGUCAGAUACACAAAGUUCUGGGGAUGGAUCCAUUACCACAAAUGAAUCAGCGCUUUAACAUCCACAACAACAGGAAACGAAGAAGGGAUAGUGAUGGAGUGGAUGGAUUUGAAGCUGAGGGGAAGAAAGACAAAAAGGAUUAUGAUAACUUUUAAAAAGUUUGUGUAAAUCUUCAGUGUUACAGUAGGUGCCGGUUUAUUGGCUGUUUUCCAUUCAUAUUAAUCUCUACUUUAAAAGUUUAUCAAGAGUAUAAAGAGUUUCAUGGAAGAACCAAGUUUUUCUAUGAUUAAAAACUUAUUGUACAGUGUCAGGUAUUAUAUGGAUGGAAAGAAAGAGAUUUGACUAGGGGGAAUAUAUUGGUCUUUCCCCCCCCCCACCCUUUUUCAUUAUUUUGAUUUUAUUGACUGGUUGCCCUUACUCCCUGUAUUUUUGUGUCUUUUAUUAACUAGUGCAUUGUGUUAUUAAAUCUUUUCUGUAUGUAAUACAGGAUUUGUGCUUCAGUUGCUCUGUGUAUUUUGAUACUUUUAUUGAGAAGUUCUGUUUGCUUUGACACAGUUGUAAGUUACUUUGUGUUAUAGAUGGCACCCUUUACCCUUACUACUUUAUAGCAGUGCGGUUUUUUUGUAACGUGAAACUGCAGGAGUUUUCCUUUGUUAUUCUGUAUGUGAAGGAUUACAAUAUAAAAGCUACCCUGCCAUCUAAGUGCUCAGAAAUAGCUGUUUCUGCAGAUCUUGUGGCAUUUGUCUAUCUAGUGUGAUAUAUAAAGGUGUAAUUAAGACAAAUUCCUUAAUCUAAUCAAGUUUGCUGUUAGUUGUGCAUUAGCAGUAUAAAAGCUAAUAUAUAUUAUAUGGUCUUGCAACAGUUUUAAAGCCUCUGCAUAAUUGAUAAAAAAAUGCAUGACAUUUUUGUUUUUAAUAGACAUUUAAAGUAAUAAUUUUAGGUUUAACACGUAGAUCUUUGUACAGUUGACUUUUUGACAUAGCAAGGCCAAAAAUAACUUUCUGAAUACUUUUUCUUCUGUACAAGUGGAAAGGGAAUUUUUCACAUCUAAGUGGGCUAUUGUUUUCAAAAGAACUUUAUCAUUGUGCAACUAACAAUAACUAGCCCUGACUAUGUGACAGUUCCCUGUUGAUGUGUGCAAUUACUCUAGCGGCUUCUACAGUCUUAACACAGUUGAAUGAUCCCCACAUCCUGUCACCCAGAUCAUUUAUAGGUCUAUUAACUGUGAGAUUGAUAAAGUAUUACUGAUUUAAAAAAAUAAGAGUAUCUAAGAAAAAAAAAAAACAGAAAAUUAUUUGGUGUGGCCAUCCAACAUGCUUAUGUCUUAUACAGAAUGCUAAUCCCCUGGCAGUGGUGUAAUGAGAGGUCACACCUUACUGUGAUGUGUGUGUGCUCUGGUGCACAGAUGUCAUUUUGUUGUCACAGCACUACAGUGAGAUACAGAAUAAACACUUAAAUUCAUGUAA